rnacentral:misc_RNA from 1 species
GCAACAAACCCAUUUCUAAGAUCAUUACAGUAAUCCAAAAACCAAGCUGUAACACUAUAACCCUCAUCCCACUUGCUCCCAUCACCUGGUUUCACCCAGUUAGGUGGAGCAUAAUUAGCCUUGAGUCUCACAAAAUCAGCAAUCCCUUCAAUCAACCCACCAGGAGCUUUGGUUCCUGCAGAUCCAUCCCACUGCCAAAUGUGUGUCAUCUCAUGGUAAAGGACUCCAUUGAAAUCCCACUUUAUAUCAGCUUUAAUUCCUUCGAUGUAAUUGUCUCCUACAUGGAUCUCGUUGUUGCUUGCAUAGGCUAUCCCAUCCAUGUCGUCCACAAACAGAGACACUUGGGACACUUGCUUCUUGUCUGCUUCGGUGGCUUGCUGGAAGAGCCUCCAGAUGAAGUCGCUUGCUGAUGCCAUUGUUUGUUUAGUGUAUUCCGCUCCAAGCUCGUUGUUGAAACGGAUCCCUCCUGGGGUUGUUUCGGCCCUGUUCGUGACUGUGUAGUCUACUGCUUGGAGGCUGUGGAGGGUUGUUAGGAUCAGAGCAAAACAGAGGAAGAUGGAUUGGUAAGCCAUGGUGUUUUCAAUUGCUUCUUCGUUC